CGGGCGGCCGCGGGGACUCCACGCGCGCCGCUCCGAACGCGCCUUUACGUGAAGGGACGGGGCGGGAUCGCCCCGGCUGGGGGAUAACGCUGUGCUUCCCGAUUUACUUCUGCUCCCUCCGGGAAGGGUUAAUGAGGAUGGUUCCUAAAAAAAAAAAGAGAAGGUGCUUCUGUGUCGUUUGCGCUCUCGGCGAGCGCCAGACCCGUGGUGAAGGAAGGGCGGGCAGCGGGGGCGGCGCUGCCCUGGGACACAUUGAACACAGAACCACAAAACCAGUGGGCUUGGAAAAGACCUCCAAGAUCAUCGAAUCCACCCUGUGACCCAUCACCCAGGUGUUUAAACCAGCGGCAGAGCAAGAGUCAUGUUCGUGAUAAAUUGAACUGUCUGCAGGGAUAUUUGUCUCUCACUGAACAGAAUUCCACCUGUAGGUUCCUCGGGAUCUCUCUGCAGAAGGACUGCAAUCUAACAUUGCCCAAGUUCAGGACAGUUCUCUCAGAGAUGUCUCUGCUCUGGGCUGGCAGUCUCUCCCCGACACCUUAGAUCCAGAAAUGCAUUUGACUCAAGUUUUCUGAAUUUAAUUUCUUGGUAUGACGUCUGUGCCCAUUUAGGAAUUCAUUACUUGAUUUGUGUUUAUUCUUUAUGCAGUGUGUUGUGUAUUUAAGAAUUUAAAUGAAAUUAUUUUCGGCUUUGUCUCUUGGAUGUCUCCUCUGUAGCUAUAGGAGAGUCAUCUUUUAAGGCAAGGGGUAUUAAUUGUGGUUCAUUUGUUAUCUGGUUUCUGCUCUUCAUAGAGAACUUAGGGAGCAAGUUUUGUGCUUGGAAAACUACUUUCCUGUUGAAAGUUGUGCUGUUUAUUAUCUGAUUGACUUGCACAUUCAGCCAUACUGAUUAUCCAUCCAUAUCCAUAUAGAAAAGUCAUGUUAUACGUGCAACAUAAUUGUGUGGGUACCCAAAAAGGGAGAGUAUUUCAUUACUGGAAAUCCAAACUGUAUUUAUUUUAUUUUUAAGGGAACUCAGACUUGAAGUUUUUAUUUUUGAAGAUUUUAUUACUUUGUAUUAAUGACAGAAUCAUUAAAAAUAAUGAGGUUUAUGCAUGCUGUGAGGUGUAGCUGAGCUGCAGCCUUGGCCUUGGGCCUUGAAAUCUUAUUUCAUCUUGAGCUCAACGCUGGCUGUGUUCUCUUACAAGAGGGGAGGUUUGAUGUCACACUGUUGGCCUGUGUCUGCUUCAGUUUUGAUGACAGCUCCUAGUCAUGAAUCAGGUUUAUGACUGGAACUUCUAGGAAUUCUUUAACAAGAAACAUAAUUUUAAAAGUAAAUAAAAACCCAGUGGAAGCUCAAUAUUCUUACCAGCUUUUUUGUGUGUGUUGUGUUGCCGUGAUGGUAAGCUAUGUGUGUAAUGGUGGAGUUUUAAAAAUAAAUAUAACUGUUGUCCUCUCUA